AUCAUAUUCAAUCCAGAUAUUGAAUGUACAUGACUUGUUAAUGUUUAAUGAUGAACCCUUUAAGUGUAAUCUGUAAUCAUAUAUGUUGUAUUGUAACAGCCACCAGAUGGCGCUGAUUGUGAAGGUGAGGCAACCUAUCUAUAGUCUUAUUCGGUUGCUGUUUAGCAACACCUUCACCCUGACUUGACAGUUCUGAUUUUCAAUGGACGUGUUUUUGUAUCUCCUCGAAUACUUCAUACAAGUUUAAACACUAUCAACUCUUUGUUAAUUCUCUAACUUCAACAGGUUAUGGGCCCAGAUUAACUGAUCUCCGCUUUGUCAGUAGUUGGACUGAUAAAUUGCAUAACAAAUUACAAAGAGGAAAAGUGUAAGUUUUUUAUUUCAAAUAAUAGGACUGUUACCUCCACCAAAAAUAAAAUUUUAAUUUAUACCUGGAAUAUCCUUCCAACAAUGAUAAUCAUGUUUCACUGACAUGCUUUUAUGUUAGAGCAGUGUAUAUUCCAGUCUGUGGGAAAAUCUUUGACAUUUUUAUGUGGUGCUUAUCGUGCCAUACAUCAAAUUAAUGUCUCACCUCUGAUAUUUUUUAUUUAGGUUCAUCUACAUUACAUAUCUCAUUUAAAUGUUAUCGUGCUUUUAACCAAAAAUGUAUUUAUGGUUUUAGACAUUCCUAAUUUUAUCGUUCCAGUUCUCAAAACAUUUGUGAGACUUGUAUUAAAGGCAAGUACGUAUAUCAUCAUUCAUCAGAUUAAUCUUCUAUAUUUUCCUUAUGGUACAUUGUAGUGGAUAACUUCUAUCGGUAGCUUUCAUAAUAGUAAAGAGUCCAUGUACAAACUUAGAUUAACAUCAAAUUUCAUUUUAGUUGACGAUUAUUGUUAUUUUGAUAUAUCAAUCCAGCAGAAACUUUCUUCUCUAUAGCUUGUCUACCAAUAAUCAUUUGAUUAUUUAUUUAAUUAAAUCUAGACUGAGAUGAGAUUUUAUCAACUAAAGUAUUUAUCUCAAUAUCUGUUGUUUAUAGGUCUAAUUUUUGUUUGCUUAUCUUCGGAAAUAUCCGUUACAGUUGUCCGUUACUGUAUUCAUUCUUUCUGAGGAAAUAAUAGAAUUUCAGUAUUGAACGUCUUAGCAGGAUUCAUACGAUGCUGACAGUCAAUUACCAUCACUGCUUGACCCAAUCCAUCUUCAGUGUAGCUACGUCCAUGCAUAAGCUUACUUGUCAAAUUAUGUAAUAAGAAUUGUUUAACAUUUCUUAAUUUAACCAUUUAGGUGAUAAUGGUGAGGGCCUGGGUGAACAUCAAAAUCAUUCGGAUCUGUUCGACGACAUCAACGAUCGAAUAUUACCUCUACCCGAAAUUCACCUUAUCGGCGCUGUAAGGCAAUACAACUUUAUGUGGACUAACCAUUUGUCGGCAUGGUGGUGGAUUAAAGGUUCUGCGUUCCCCAUCGCCGUGUCAACCCUGAGCUUGUUUACCUGAACACCAUUGGUUCUUAAUUAGCAAGGACAGCAUCCUAGAGGAACUGCUACUUCACACCACCACCUCUCCUAUGCCUUGUUGGGUCAUCUUCUAUAUUGGAAAACGGUACGAAUUAACAUGACGAAUUAACUAUUCUAAGCAUAGAUCCUGGGACAAUAGAGAUAUAAUGAGAUUGUCAGUCGGUCGAUCCACUGUAUGCCAGUGGUGAUGUAACAAAAUCUCUUCUUUUCGACUAAGUACAGCUGAAACUGACUUUGUUUAUAAAUUAUCACUGACAAAUCAUUAUUGAACCGUUAGUGGUUAAGGUAUGGACUGACAGUCAAAUCCGUCCAGCCGUUGUAACCUUUAGAUUUCCGAUCAAUCUAAGUUUAUUAAUAAAACAUUCUUCCAAUUUUUUUAUUUUGAAACCUUUUUGUGUGGAUGAUGAAUGCACCAACAAAUCAACUCUAACUAGUUCCUAAAUUUUAAAUUUCUCAAACUACUCUUAUAAUUCGGAUUUUCUUUUAAAUAUCCAACUUGAGUUUGCUGAUGCUUGUUUUAGCUUACGUCUUAUCUUACCCUUAAGAUGCAAGAUAUUUUAUUUUUAACAACUCGGCAAGCAUUUUUGCCUAACACCCAAUCCUGUCGAUUCAAACAGAUUCAGCCUAAUUUAAGGGAGAGUAUGGCUAGUGUAAAUUUCGUCUUAAUCUGAUUCCAAAUUAUGACCGUCAUUACCAGACAAUAUUCCAAGGACACUCUUAUUUUGCUCAAACAUUUUCCCGGCGAAAAUGACUUUCAAAAGACCGACAUAGAGUCCCGCUCUUACUGUUUACUAGAUUCAUUUGAACACAUUCCAUCUCGUCUAUCAUCACCCAAUAGUACGACGGAGAGGAUCGCAUCAAACAACUAAAUGUUUCGAUCCCAAAUGUUCCUUUUUGCUGGACUUUACAGAUUUACACAUGCAGUGUUAAAUAAAAAGGAAGUAUCUGAACGAUUUGCCAUAACGAAAAUGUCUUGAGCGGAAAGUCUUUCUCAUCUCCUUAAGCAAACAACAUCCUCAAACACAAACCUAUCUUCCACGUUCAGUUGAGCAUUUUCCGAGUUCUAUCCUCGAUGACAAUUUUCAGAGUUGAAGUCUCGAUGAAAUUUUCCGAGUCCAAUCCUCGAAGUAUUCCGAUUUUUAAAACAUCGAUGACUGUAUUCCGAGUUCAAAACUCGAUGACUGUAUUCCGAGUUCAAAACUCGAUGACUGUAUUCCGAGUUCAAACCUCGAUGACUGUAUUCCGAGUUCAAACUUCGAUGACUGUAUUCCGAGUUCAAACCUCGAUGACUGUAUUCCGAGUUCAAACGUCGAUGACUGUAUUCCGAGUUUAAACCUCGAUGACUGUACUCUGAGUUCAAACCUCGAUGACUGUAUUCCGAGUUAGAACCUCGAUGAAAAUUUCAUUGGAUCAUAAGUCCAAAUGUAGGCGACCAUAGGUGCUGAAUCAAGUUCUGCCGCCGUGUAUCCAGACAAAAGUAACAAAAUAGCUUUUAUUGUCAUACAUUUUCCCCCUGUACGUUUCGAACGAGAAUGGGAGCAGGAAUGAUCGUUGAAGAUCUUCAUCGACACGUAGCAUUGACUAACUACGCUCCAGGGAGAGCAGUAUAUACUACAAACUGAGCCUCGUUUAAGGGAGAGAGUAUCCAGUAAACAUCGUCUUCAUUCGCUACAGAAUAACGACAGCCCAUCCCAGAGAAUCUCGAAGUCGCUCGUGGCACAAAUAUUCAAAAUUUCUUUCUUUUCAUACAUUCUAAAUUUUCUAAAUUUGUUAAUAGCUAUUUUCUGAUAAGCAGUUCUAUAUGAAACAGGCCAUCCACCAGUAACUUCUAGUUUUCAGUUUAGUGCAUGACUUUAUUUUGCUGUCACAGACUCUGAAGAAGACACAAGGAAGUCUUCAAAAACUCUAGUGAUUCUUACUACCCACUACAUGGGAAUACCUAUCAUCUUGUAAAUCACCACCCGGCGUAAACGACAAAGACGAUCGAACUUCAAAAUAUUCUUCAACACAUUCAAUAUUCUGUUUGAGGGAGAGUGUUGGAAAUCAUAUUCAAUCCAGAUAUUGAAUGUACAUGACUUGUUAAUGUUUAAUGAUGAACCCUUUAAGUGUAAUCUGUAAUCAUAUAUGUUGUAUUGUAACAGCCACCAGAUGGCGCUGAUUGUGAAGGUGAGGCAACCUAUCUAUAGUCUUAUUCGGUUGCUGUUUAGCAACACCUUCACCCUGACUUGACAGUUCUGAUUUUCAAUGGACGUGUUUUUGUAUCUCCUCGAAUACUUCAUACAAGUUUAAACACUA
rnacentral:lncRNA from 1 species